rnacentral:rRNA from 1 species
CCGAAAGGUCGAAUGGGGAAAUUCAUUCGCGUUUCGAUUGUCGGCGUUGAGCUGUUGUGUGAGGCGGGGUACGCUUCGUAAGCGCCUUCAGUUCUUCGAAGGCUUCGAACGCGUGCACUUUUCCCCUAGUAGGACGUCGCGAUCCGUUGGGCGUCGGUCUAAGGCCUGCGGUGGAGCUCGCGUGGACGUUUCGGCGUUCCGCACGAACCCGCAGUGUCCCGAUCGACUCGCUCGACGGUAUAAAGAUGGCGCGGGGCCGCUACACAGUUAGCGUUCGGCCUACGGCAAGCACGUACGGUGUUCGAUGGCGAUCAGACCUAGUCGGAUCCCGUCCCCGGACGACUGUUGGCACGUAGUGUUCUCGAACAGACCUCGUUGAAACGCCGAUCUGCGACGCUAUUGCUUUGGGUACUUUCAGGACCCGUCUUG